rnacentral:rRNA from 1 species
AGCAGCCGCGGUAAUUCCAGCUCCAAUAGCGUAUAUUAAAGUUGUUGCAGUUAAAAAGCUCGUAGUUGAAUUUCGGGAUCAAUGUUUCGGUCAUGCCGUUGGUAUGUACUGAUAUUAUUGAUUUCUCACCUUCUAAAGAACCGUAAUGCCAUUAAUUUGGUGUCACGGGGAAUUAGGACUGUUACCUUGAAAAAAUUAGAGUGUUUAAAGCAGGCUCACGCUUGAAUACAUUAGCAUGGAAUAAUGAAAUAGGACAUCCGAUUCUAUUUUGUUGGUUUCUAGGAUCGAUGUAAUGAUUAAUAGGGCUAGUUGGGGGCAUUAGUAUUCAAUUGUCAGAGGUGAAAUUCUUGGAUUUAUUAAAGACUAACUACUGCGAAAGCAUUUGCCAAGGAUGUUUUCAUUAAUCAAGAACGAAAGUUAGGGGAUCGAAGACGAUUAGAUACCGUCGUAGUCUUAACCAUAAACUAUGCCGACUAGGGAUCGGAUGAUGUUAAUUUUUAAUGACUCAUUCGGCGUACG